rnacentral:rRNA from 1 species
AACGAACGCUGGCGGCAUGCCUAACACAUGCAAGUCGAACGAGAUCUUCGGGUCUAGUGGCGCGCGGGUGCGUAACGCGUGGGAAUCUGCCCUUUGGUUCGGAAUAACAGUCAGAAACGACUGCUAAUACCGGAUGAUGACGAAAGUCCAAAGAUUUAUCGCCAGAGGAUGAGCCCGCGUAGGAUUAGCUAGUUGGUGUGGUAAAGGCGCACCAAGGCGACGAUCCUUAGCUGGUCUGAGAGGAUGAUCAGCCACACUGGGACUGAGACACGGCCCAGACUCCUACGGGAGGCAGCAGUGGGGAAUAUUGGACAGUGGGCGAAAGCCUGAUUCAGCAAUGCCGCGUGAGUGAUGAAGGCCUUAGGGUUGUAAAGCUCUUUUACCCGGGAUGAUAAUGACAGUACCGGGAGAAUAAGCUCCGGCUAACUCCGUGCCAGCCGCCGCCGUAA